rnacentral:snRNA from 1 species
AGCUUUGUGCAGCAGCAGUAUCACAGCCAAUGAGGUUUAUCUGAGGCAUGAUUAUUGCUAAUUGAAAAAAUCUUGUAGGUUGGGGC